UCAACAGAUACGAGAGUGCUUGUGGAAGGCUAGGCAGAAGGCAACAUUCUUGCUCUACCUUGGGGAAGCUCUCCAUUCCAGAUACCCCCAUUAGCCAAACUCAACCAGAAGCCGGAGGGCAAGAGAGCUGGGCAAUGUGGCCUAUAGAGGUUAAAGAUCCUGGGUCACAGACCAAGGUAGAGAAAACUGGAAAAUGAUUCUGACGGCAAUGCAAACGAAGAAUAGCCAGGAUAAAAAACAGAAAGAAGUUAAAAAUCGCUCAAAACUCCAUCAUCCAGAGGGCAUGCUCUUUCUCUUCUGUGGGGUGGACCAGAUGCUCUAAGGAACCGUAUCCAUGGGAUUAUUCUGAAACCCUAUGGACAGAUUCCAUUUCCAGGAAGAUGGUCUG